CUUGCAUAGGAGCAGCCCUGCUCAGAAGGGCUGUUUCCCCGGCUGGCCUGGCUGCAUCUUCUUCCCAUCCUCUUUGAAGGAAGGCAUUUAGCAUCACCUUACCGUCUCCCAAAAACGCACUACGUGCAAUGCGAACCAGGAGAUCGCGUGCAAUUUCCUGGUCUCCCAGCAGAUCAGGCCUGGCUGUUGUUUGGACUAGUGACUAGGCGCAGCCCCAAAAGCCCCGGCAAUUUGUCUAAACCUUAUUACCCAUGUCUUUGAGAAGCACUGCCUCCCAAAGAUGCCACCUCCCUGAUGGGAAGGGUUCCAACUAAUCCAAUGUCCCGCUUGCUUUCUCAAGGGACGGACCGAGAGGCUGCGCACAAGGAGGCGUUUUUGGAAGGAAGCAGUGGCUCCCUGCCAGCCUCUGCUGAAGAAACAGAGGCGAUGCAAGCCAACGGCAUGCCAGGGCUGUCAAAGGCCGGAGGAGACCACCAUGGCAGCGUAUAUGAAUUUUUCCGCACAGACUCAGGUGUGGCUGGCGAGACAAUCCCAAGCGUUUCCAACCCCCAGAGCACCGCAAGUUUUUUCUGUCCCCAAGAUGUGCGAAGACGCUGUAUGAUAGGCACAGCAGCAGUCGUGAUUUCCGUGCCACUUGCAAUAGCGUUGUGCUAUGUCAUGAUCCGACGGCGGAGAAAUAGAAGACGGCAUGCCUCUGCAGCUUCAGAAGCCCGCCGGGAAACCAGCAGAUACCCCUCGCGCCCGCAGAGCCGGACCCGCCGGCCCAGCACCCCUGAGAGCUGGACCCAACGCCAGCGGCCGCCACUUGUGCAUGGGAAACCGGCACGCCCGCCCUCCCCACGGCCCCCCCGCCCCCCAAGCCCGAUGGUCCGGCCCCCCAGCAGGGGCUGAAGGCAGCCCCGCCAGGGGAGGGCCUGGGGGUGCGCUGACAGAGCCCCCACCAACAGCUUCGGGGAUCAGCCGUUUCUCUACAAAUAAAGAGGGACAGAGCUGGCACACAAGUCUCCAGUGGUACAAACAGCAAACCCCGCGAGGCACCAGCACCGGCUGAGCUCCGCAGCCGGGCGCAGCCGUGGAUGCCCACUGUGUCGGCAGGCAGGAGCCAGGCACGGGGCUCCUCUGGCCAGCGGCGGGGCCCCGAGGGGCUGGGGC